rnacentral:rRNA from 1 species
UACGUAGGUGGCAAGCGUUGUCCGGAAUUAUUGGGCGUAAAGCGCGCGCAGGUGGUCCCUUUAAGUCUGAUGUGAAAGCCCACGGCUCAACCGUGGAGGGUCAUUGGAAACUGGGGGACUCGAGUCCUGGAGAGGGGUCGUGGAAUUCCCGGUCGUAGCGGUGAAAUGCGUAGAGAUCGGGAGGAACACCAGUGGCGAAGGCGGCGACCUGGACGGACACUGACGCUGAGACGCGAAAGCGUGGGAGCAACAG